rnacentral:lncRNA from 1 species
CCAUAUUGGGGCUGAAGAGUUACGAUGGUAAAGGGAGCAUGAGUAUAGGUGGGUGAAAGCUCGAAUGAGAAAUUUUGAAGAAUCAUCGCUAAAGCCAUCUUUGCUUCUGUCAAGGCAAAGGCCUGUCCGAUGCAAAUCCUUGGCCCCCAGCCAAAGGGGAAAAAUGAGACUUGAUUCUUUGUGGCCUUCGAUAUUCCUUCUGAGAAUCUCUCGGGAUUGAAUUCCUCUGCAUCUUCACCCCAUAGCUCACGGUCAUGAUGAACUAAAAGGAUUGGCAUUGCUAAUUCAACUUGGGGAGGAAGACGAACGUUUCCUAGCUCCAUUUCUUUGUAUGUAACUCGAGUAAGCAUUAGCCCAGGCGGGUAUAAUCGGAGGACCUCAUUAAGAAUCAUUGUUACCUGUAACGCGCAUAAUGUUAAUAUGUUAGAAUAUUAGUCCUGAACAUAUGAAGAACAUGAUAAAGACUAUACUUACAACUUUUAGAUGGUUCAAGCCUUCGAAAUCUGGUUUUUCUCGCCCGAAAACUUGAUGGACCUCUUCUCUAGCUUUUACUUGCCAUUCUGGAUGCAUACUUAACACGAUCAUUGUCCACACAAGCAAAGUUGAAGUAGUCUCUUGUCCUGCAAAGUAAAACAACUUGCAUUCCUCCAUAACUUCAUCAAUACUCAGACCGAGAUUCUUAGCAUUCCCGCCUUCCUUGAUUUCUUUAUAAUUGGACUCCAUCAAUAUUCCUAAUAAGUCGUCAGUUCUAGCUUCGCCUAAUUUCAUAGCCUUUUCUCUCUUCUCUAUCAUAACUUUCAGCAGACUACACACUUCUCUAUAGAUUUCGUUCAUCCUUCUGUUUUUUCGUGUUGGAACAAAUCUGCACGUAAAGAUCACAAAGUUUAUAGCAAUCUUAUUCUUCAUCAUGCACAUACUACUAUCAUCCAAAUUUUAUUUUCUUAGCGCAUAUCCCCAACAUAUAAUUGAACCGGGUUGUAAACAAGAAGUAUGAAAUAAAAACAGAACGAUUUCAUUCUGCUUUGUAAUAAGUUCUUGCACUUGAAUUCAUAAUCUGCAAACCUGAAGCCUGGGAUGUAUAUUGAGCGAGCAGCUUCGAUAACAAAUUUCGCUUGUUCCAUUUGGAGUUCAAAUAUACGCCGUCCUUCUUCAUAACUGCUACCAAAUGCCGUUCGAGAGAUGACAUCUGCAGUCAAGUUCUGUAAAUAAGGCCAAACAUCGACUUCACAUGGUUCUAGCGAAACCAAUUUCUCCCAUUUCUCGACCAACUCACUACAACAUGCAUAAAAUGCUGGCAACAUCAUCUAUCAUCAACAAAAUAAUAAUACCAAUUAGUUUGUGAAUGUUUUUCAUUUUCUCAGAAACUAGAUAAAAUAUGGUAGAGAAUGACCUUCAACUUCUCUUGAUGAAAGGCUGGGUUAAUGAUCCUUCUAUGCUUAACCCAUUUUUCUCCAUCAUAGUUUACAAGACCUUUUGCUAACAAUCCAACAAGUGGAUUUGCUCUUAUCUUCGCAAAAUGACCAAACUUGUUAGAAAGAAUUUCUCUUAUUAUUUCUGGAUCCAUAAUGUUCACCCUUGGAGUUGGUCCAAUCCAACUAACAAACAUUUUACCUGAUUCAUUUGAGCAAAAACAUGAGUUUGUUCUUACACAAUAUUUGUUCAAAUCAAUCCCCUACAUACCGCAUUAUGGAAGAACAGGUACAACCACACAAGGAAGAAAGUACAUACCAUAGGUUUUAACUGCUUGAUCCUCGAAAGGAAGAAGACGUGGAGUGAUACGAUGGGAGAGGUCCAUAGGUUUGGAUCUUGCUUUCCUCAUCAUCAUCACAAGUUCCUUAAGAUUCCCAUAAAAUAACUUGUAAGAAGGACCAUCAAUCCCUUGCUUCUUCAAGUAUUUCUUCAUCUUCAUAGGUUUCAGCCAUAACCAAUAAACUGUUUUCAAUGCCCAUACAGCUACCAACACUGAAGAAACUAGGAGCAAACCAAGUAGAACAACUUCCAUAUAUUUACUUGAAAGAAAAUGAAGACACUCUUUUCUUUCACAAACACAAGCACAAUUGAAAAUGGAGAUGUCUGAAAUCACUAUUUAUCAAAACAAAACUUCUUGAUAACAUCUACUUAGUGGUACUAUGAAGAUCAUCACCUACUACAUUCCAAAGAUUAAGUCCAAAUUAGAACUAUGUUUGAUAAGGUGGCCACUUGGACAUAUUUGCAUCAGAUAUUAUCUUUCAUUAUUAAUAGUUUGGUCCACCUAAUAAUUCAGCAGCAGAUGGAUGCCUGCGAUAAAGGGUUUUUUUCCCUACAGGCAAUCACAACUAACUGCUCACUAGUCGCUAGGCGAUGGGGGGACAAUCCCCCUCGGAAUUGAAAAUCCAGGGACCGGGGUGUUACGGAUGUCUAUGAACUAACUUUCUGUGCCAAAUACAAACCAUGGUGUGGAGUAUUUUUCGAGAUACUCUUAGUCUAGUAAAUAAAGUAUGUGUUUUUUUGUCGACAGAGAACUAGGACUGGUACUAUUAGGAACAAGAGAACCAUAAGCUGAUAGAACCUUUUGAAGAGUACAACCAUAAGCUACAAAAAAGAUGGUUCCAUCCUGACCUUCAACUUUUUAUUGCUUUCAUCACAAUUCAUCACUUUUUGUGUUUGGACUCAGUUGCCUUUCGGCAUUUUGGCAAAAUGGGGUAAUUACAGAUGUCUAUGAACAAACUUUUUGAGACAAAGUUCAACAUGUAUAGAAUUAAAAGGACAUGAUUUAAGCUUGUAUAGUUGUAUGUUUCUUUUAAUAUUAUCAGCAAAUUAUAUAAUACAACAAUUCCCUAUCAUUCGGUUACUUGGAGCACUGCAGAUUGCAGAUGAAUUAUCUGUAGUAAGAAUAAUUCCCUGUCACGGCUGUAAAUGCAUAACCUAGGACCCCUACCAUAAGACGGUAAUUCAUAGAUCAUAUUCUUUCAAUUUUGUUUAUGUAUAUAUGAAACAGUGUGAAAAAUGAUGAUAUUACAACUAACCAUCAAAUUUUGGAUUCAACAUAACUGAUCCACAUGGCAUUAAACCUUAUAAUUAUGCACUUCAUACCAAAUGAAGUUAAGAUACUAUUUACAGUUGUUAUUCAUGAGAAGUACCAUAACAUGUAAUCGAAAAGUGAUCAGAGUUUAUGUAAUAUGAGUUGAGCACCAUGUUGAGGCUGAAGAGUUACGAUAGUAAAAGGAGUGUGAGUAUAGGUGGGUGAAAGCUCGAACCAGAAAUUUUGAAGAAUCAUCGCUAAAGCCAUCUUUGCUUCUGUCAAGGCAAAGGCCUGUCCGAUGCAAAUCCUUGGCCCCCAGCCAAAGGGGAAAAAUGAGACUUGAUUCUUUGUGGCCUUCGAUAUUCCUUCGGAGAAUCUCUCAGGAUUGAAUUCCUCUGCAUCUUCACCCCAUAGCUCACGGUCAUGGUGAAUUAAAAUUAUUGGUAAUGCUAAUUCCACAUGAGGAGGAAGACGAAGGUUUCCUAAUUCAAUGGUCUUGUAAGUGACUCUAGAAAGCAUAAUCCCAGGUGGAUAUAGUCGUAGAACCUCAUUUAGAAUCAUUGUUAC